rnacentral:lncRNA from 1 species
GAUCUUCAAUCGGUCCCACUGGGCGUGCCAAAAGAUGUGUUGAUGCAAAACUGAUAUGCAAACACAAAGGGCUAAUACCCGAUUCAAACGUUAAGGCGUGCCAGCCGAUUUGACCUUACUAUCGGCAAAGGUGAUAACUCGAAUACUUUAGUCCUGACAACAGCGAUGCGCCCGGAUGUCACAGCUAAGAGGUACUCACGCG